UUCUGUGUCUUUUGAGUUUACACUUUGAUUAGCUACGCAGUUCCUGUCAGGGGCAGUUCCAUUUAUAUUCAAUUCAUGGGUCGUCCGCCACCUUACCGCAGAGUCCUACGCUUUCAUUAAUGCAGCUGUACGCAAAGCAGUUUCAUCUUUUUGUCAGUUACGUUUUGUUUCUCAGUCGAGAGGAUUCCGCCGAGCUUGCCUGCGUGCCAACAUUUAGUAGGAUGGUGCCUGGAGGGAAGCAAAUGCUGCAAAACUGCUGAAAGUGGCAUGGUUAACUCUCCCGCUUGGCAUGUUAAUCACAGUUGAUGCAAGCUCUCUUGUCUUUUGGCGGCAACGGUUAAGCUAUUCAAAUCCAUAUGCAAAAGCUAUCAUCGUUAAUGGUGUUGUCUUAAGUCUUCCUAGUACCAUGUUCUUGCUGUAUGGGUUCAUCUUGUUGAUAGUGAAUGACUCAAAAUGAAAAAAAAAUUAAAGCUGAUUUUUUGGAAAUAUUCAUCUGCAGCUUAUCAGCUCCUGUUAUCUUCUUUGGAGAAUCGUGAUUUACCCCAUGCUGUUUCUGGAAGAAAUUACAAAUAGAAGUUUACAGUAUUUAGGGAACAAUUGAAGAGUAGUUAAAAAGUAAUAAAAAUCUAAGGAUGUAAUAGAAAUAUUGGUGUGAUUAGGAUGACAUAAGUAGAUUAUGAGAUAAAUUCAACACAGUCAGGUCUGUCAAAUGAAUAUCCGUCAGAGAAUCAGUGGAGCAAGAAAAUUAACUUAGCUACAUACUUGUUUCGAUGUAUGUGAAAUCACAAAUCAAUGGUUAACAUCAAGACUAAUGUUAGAUAACAUUCAUAUUUAAAUGCUCAUUGUCCUUAAGCGGGUUCCUGAUCUUUAUUCUCUCUCAUACUUCCCUUUUUUCCCGCUGAGGGUUUUCUCUUAUCCUCCCCUUUUUCCAUUCCCACCUAACCUAAUAACUUACUAUUCCAGUAAUCAUAUGCCUUAGCCUUUGUUACUUUUUCAGAUUCCAUUUCAAUCCAUAUGCAUGUUUGAAGUUAUUGGGAACCAAGAUAUAGACCAGCUGCCUGAGUUUUUUUUGAUAAGUCUGAAUAUAAAUUUUUGGUUAGUGAAGAUAACAAGGUGCAUCAGAGAAUCUAAGAAUCCAGGGGCAGCAUGCUUUUAAUAAAAUUACUUGAGCAUCUAGAUGUAGUCAAUAUGCUGACUUUAUUAUCUCAGUUGAACUUUUUCUUUGAUAUUCUUCUUUUUCUUUUUAGUUUAUUUGUGGAAUCAAUUGAUAUUGCAUGGCAGGUUGCACAUGCAUAUUGGAACUAUUUGCUGAACCCUUGCAUAUUUCUCAAAACUUGCUCCUUCGGAAACUUCGGUUAAUGGUUGAAAUUAUGGCAACACUUUCACGUUGUGUGACAAUGUGCAUUCUCAUUGUCAAGCAGGUUGACAUAGUAGAGGCUUUUUAAGGCUAUUUCUUGAAUUUGAAUGCAUGCAUGUCAUCACCCUGCUUAAUGAAGCUAACCAGACUAUUUUUCUUGACAACUUUUAAUGCUUCAUCUGUUGAUCAUUAUCUACUUUUAAGAUAUUUCUCUAAUGCUUUUCUGAUAUCAAUUUCCCCUUUGCUAAGUGCACCCGGCAAAGCUGUUCCAUUAGUUGCUGGCAUGCUGCUAAUUUCUUAAGUUCUAUCACUGUAUGUAUAACUAGUGUUACUUAACAUUAUAUGCAGAUGAUCUUGCACAUGUGGAUAAUUCUUGUGCUUGUUGUGAAUACUUUUUAUUAAUGAUGUAUCUUUUCAUCUGGAAAACUUUCUAAAAUGUAACUAAGGAAUUGGUGGAAGCUUCCUGUAAACUGUAAUUUUAAUUAAGCUUCUAUUUGUAGUCUUUGUGGAGUCAUCUUGUAUUUUAAAGACAUGUAGAAACGUUCUUGUUCUAAUUUUUCAGAAAUAGCACUUUUCUAAUUUUAUUGCUGCUCAUUAUCAGUAAUCUUCUUAAUUCUUACAGGAGAAGGAGAUUGUUUUUGCAUUGUCAUAAGUUGCAUAUGUUGCUUGCUUGUUCCUAGGUUACUGGGGUUAUUUUCUUCUUUCUCAUGCAUUUAGAAAUUAUGAGCUUUUCCCUUUCAGGUACAGAUCCUUUUUUGUAGGACUCAUUAUCUUUAGUGAUGAAAAUGUUUGGAUUGUGUACCUCUCCUGCCUCUCCAAGUAAUAGUAGCAUUAUGUUAUAUGUAUCAAAUAUCAUAUUAUUUGGAAUUUUGCAACCAUUUGAUUUGAGCCAUAAACUUACAUUUUGCUUUAUACCCUAUUAACCUUUUUUUUUUUAGCUGUAUGUCUCUUUUGAUGCAAAGUUUGGCAAGCAGAAUGAGCAUAUUAACAAUAGAAAGUCCAACAGCUGGUUAAGUGGACUGCAGCUAAUCUCACUUUAAAGGUCAAACUUCCCACACAUGAGGGAGCUUAGUUGUGAGAAGAAAGUUCAUAUGCUACGUUUGCCAGGUGUGCAGCGGGACAAAACAGAAUAGCAAAAAAAUUGGUAGUAGCGUUAUGGAGGCACUAAAGCUUGUUUUGAUAAUUGGUCUUAUAUUCAUAGCAUUUGGCCCAAGCUACUCAUACUCUCUCAUCAGAUUAUUGUAUGGACAGAACUGGAGUGAUGGAGAAGCAUUGAUAGCUCUUAAGUACUACUGCCUAUAUAUUAUUGUUUUGGCCAUGAAUGGAACUUCUGAAGCCUUUCUACAUGCAGUUGCCACAGAGGACCAAAUCAAACACUCAAAUGAUUCAUUGCUUGUAUUUUCCGUGAUAUACAUUACUACCAAUGUCCUACUAAUACUGUCAGCUGGAGCACGUCAAACUGCUUACUAAAGGAAUGAGAGAGCUGAUGUAUUGGAAAAGUUAUCGCGCCAAAAAUUUGAGCUGUGUGCAACUGGUAAGAACUAGAAGAAAGGUAAUGAAUAGCUCAUUGACAGCACUAAUUUAUGACCACACCACUUUCAUGCGAGCUGGCACUAGUGCGUCUGUGAUUUAAAGGUAAUCUUGAAUUCAGUAUCUUACUAGGAUUCUGUUUUAUGAUUAUAAGCAGUGAUUCAGAGUUUUUUUCUUUCUUUUUCUGGGUUAGCUAUCAUAUUUCUGUGGAAAUUUCUUUGGUGUUUUAUUAUAGAAAAGCUAAGAAAUAUAGGGGUGUCGUAUCUGGUAUCCACAACUUUUAGAGCAUAAAAUUCAAACACAAAAGCCGCUUUUUCUUCAUGCCAAUUGAAACUUAGUGCUCAUAAUCAAUAGUCGUGUAAGCAUUUAGCUAUGAUGAAGCAAGCACUUUGGGUUAUUGAAAGGUAUGUGGUUCCUCUUAGUACAUUUCCGAGAACAAUAAAACUACGUAUGUAUAUUUAUUUUGGAUACACAAAUGAAUACAUACUUAUAUGUCU